GGUGGGUUUGUAAGUCAGAUGUGAAAGCCUCCUGUUCAACGGGAGAAUUGCAUCUGAAACUGUGAAUCUUGAGUGUAGGAGGGGAGAAUGGAACUUCUGGUGGAGCGGUGAAAUGCGUAGAUAUCAGAAGGAACGCCGGCGGCGAAAGCGAUUCUCUGGCCUAUUACUGACACUCAGUGUGCGAAAGCUAGGGGAGCAAACGGGAUUAGAUACCCCGGUAGUCCUAGCCGUAAACGAUGGGCACUAAGUAGAGGGGUUU
rnacentral:rRNA from 1 species